UACGGGGGGUGCGAGCGUUGUCCGGAAUCACUGGGCGUAAAGGGCGCGCAGGCGGUCUGAUAAGGGUGUGGUGAAAGCCCGGGGCUCAACCCCGGGUCGGCCGUGCCGACUGUUGGACUAGAGUGCUGUAGGGGCAGGCGGAAUUCCGGGUGUAGCGGUGGAAUGCGUAGAGAUCCGGAGGAAGACCGGUGGCGAAGGCGGCCUGCUGGGCAGUUACUGACACUGAGGCGCGGCAGCGUGGGGAGCAAACAGG
rnacentral:rRNA from 1 species